CUCCUACUCCCUCUGUCCCAAAAUUCUUGUCGGGGAAAUGGAUGUAUCUAGACGUAUUUUAGUUCUAGACACAUCCAUUUUUCCGACAAGUAAUUCCGGACGGAGGGAGUACAAA
rfam:Triticum aestivum genome assembly, contig: Triticum_aestivum_CS42_TGACv1_scaffold_296270_4AL